ACGAACGACCAAAGGUUGCAGAAAAAAGAGGAUCCCGUCCGCUCUCCUGUACUCAAGCUGCAAACCGGCAGAUUAGUAUUAUCGUGGGUGACCAGAUGAGAAUACCUGCUGUUGUUCGUU
rfam:Hortaea werneckii EXF-2000 unitig_1, whole genome shotgun sequence.